rnacentral:rRNA from 1 species
AGACCGAUAGCGAACAAGUAGAGUGAUCGAAAGAUGAAAAGCACUUUGAAAAGAGAGUUAAACAGCACGUGAAAUUGUUGAAAGGGAAGCGUUUGCGACCAGACUCGCCCGCGGGGUUCAGCCGGCAUUCGUGCCGGUGUACUUCCCCGUGGGCGGGCCAGCGUCGGUUUGGGCGGCCGGUCAAAGGCCCUCGGAAUGUAUCACCUCUCGGGGUGUCUUAUAGCCGAGGGUGCAAUGCGGCCUGCCUGGAACCGAGGAACGCGCUUCGGCUCGGACGCUGGCGUAAUGGUCGUAAAUGACCCGUCUUGAAACACGGACCAAG